GUUCUGAACUCCUUUCUAUUUUCAAGUCUUUUAACCGGGAUCUGUUUCACCUGAAGUGGAGAAGGAGGGAGGCUUGCUCACGCUGCUCGGGAGAGUUUGGAUGAUUCUGGCAGGUUGCCCUCCAAGCCACACACCAUCCUGACUUAGAAUGCACAAUAGAGCAGUGCCAAUGGAGCAAAGCAGCAGUGUACGAUCAUCCAUGAUGGAUCACAAGAGGCUGCAGAGGGUUGUAGACUCAGCCAGCUCCAUCACGGGCACAACCCAGCCCAUCAUCAAGGACAUCUUCAAGAGGCGGUGUCUUAAGGAGGUGGCAUCCAUCACUAAGGAGUCUCACCACCUGGGACAUGCCCUCUUCUUGUUACUACCAUCGGGGAGGAGGUACAGGAGCCUGAAGACCGACACUCAAUGAUUCAGGAACAGCUUCUUCCCCUCUGCCAGAUUUCUGAAUGGUCCAUGAACACUCCCUCAUUAUUUCUUUUUUUUGCACUAAUUUUUGUAAUUUAUAGGUUUUUAUGUCUUUGCACUGUACUGCAACA